CUCUCAACCCAAUCCAAAAAUUUGAGCUCCCCCCAAAAUUUUCUAAAAGCAAACAAAUCCACAACCCUAGCUCUCAUCCCACAAGUUUGCAAAACCACCGUUUCAAUUUUCUAAUCAAAUCACCCCCAAAAUCGAUCAUCAAAUACUACUCGCACCAAAAGCACAAUGACGGAUCUGAAACCGAACGUCCAACCAUCAUCUUUCUCUGGCAAGAUCUUCACAUGCUGCUGUAGUUCAAUCGUUCUCUAUUUAAAAUCAAUUCCAGUAAAAGAAUAAUCGGCGGUUUUGAAUAAUGGUUCAGAUUCGAAGGUUUCGACAUCAAUACGGCUUCGAGCGACCUGAGGCGCCACACUCACUACGAAACAGUCACCUUCAAUCGUACACUUCUUCUUCUUCUUCUUCUUAUCUUCUUUUUCUAUAUUUCGAUCUUCACAGCUAGUGAAGCUGGUGAAGAACUCUGUCAUGAAAAGACUCUGAAUUUUGAAGAUUUUAGAUGCAAAACUAGUGCUCUCGUGGUGGCCAUGGGUAUUUAAGUUCCACAUUUAGUGGGUCCGGGUGAGUUUUCCCCUCCAGGUCUCAAGUUCGAGUCUGGGUGAUAGGGGUUUCUCAUUGAGAGGUUUAAAUUGGGGAUUUAUUGUGCGAGGAGGCUCUCUAGCGCGGACCCGGUUAAGACAACGUAUGCUAGACCUCCCAAUGAGUGCCAAUUGUUUUUAAGACUUGACUUUUAGUAGUUUUCAUCAUAUCGCCUGCAAUAUUCAAGAACUUCUUCUUAGGUACGACUUUCAUUCAUAACUUUUGAUAGUUUUUACUUAUGAGAUUGAAUUCUUGAAUGUUUUCAGUAGAUAAAAUGUUGUAAAUUAUAAAGCUGCUUUAAUUAUGAAUGCAUGGUGGUUUGAUUCUUGUUCCUAGGUGACUUCAAUAACUCGUGAACUACUAUGUUUAUAUUUUUAGUUUUUCAGUUUUUGUUAGGAUAAUCUUGAAGCAUUAGUUUUACUGAUCUAACGCAGCAUUAGUAUCGUGAACUAUAUAAAUUUUCAGUUACGCUUGUCGAUUGUAUAUGUAGUUAGUCGAUGUAAGAUAAGUAUUACAUAGCUUGUCGAUUUGUUUAAUUUAUUUUCUAGUGUUUAUAAUGACUUGAAUUAAACAUAAAUUCAAAUGUAAUGUGAUCAGAAAAUAAAUUGUUUACUUACUCUGUUUAUGUUUGUUUAUGAGUUCAGGGAGUUGAAUUUGAAGCCAAAUUCGGGAAGCUUGUUGAACUCGGGUUCAGCAGAGAUGCAGUUAUACAUUAGUAAAAGCACGUGAAUCAACUAUUUUCGUUUUGGUUUUUUCUUGUGAUGCAGUUUUGAUUUAUUUGCCAACAAGUUUAUUAUGGGUACUAUUGAUUCUUGGUCUAUCCUGCAGGUUGAUCCAAAAUUUGAUUUGGAUAUUAAUUAAGAUGAUGUGGAAGACGAGUGUUCCAACUAUAGACGGGUCAAGCCCUUUAUCUCAGUAUACUUGGAUGAACAUCUGUUAGAUGUGCAAAUUACUAUAGCAUGGGGUCUACAAGUAGCAUGAAUAAAACACUUGGGAGGAUUAUACAACAUUAGAACCAGUCGCCAGUUACAAGUUUACUCCCCACCACAACAUCGGUAAUGUGGCCACGAACCCAUGGAUGCAAAUUUGCAGCACUUUUAGGUCUAAAACAGUGAUUAUAUGGACUUGAAGAAAACAGUCUCGAAAUAGUUUCUAGUUUAUAUGUAAAGUCAUUUUUCUGUGUAACAUUUGUAGAUAGGUUUUUAUUAGAAGUUAAUGUUUAUAAUUAGUAUUAGUAUUUAAAUUCAAAACUUGUGUAUGGAUUUUGGGUUAUUAUUGUUAAAAAUCAUUUCGUUUUUUGGUU